rnacentral:rRNA from 1 species
ACGGUUUCGGCUGUCACUUACAGAUGGACCCGCGGCGCAUUAGCUAGUUGGUGGGGUAAUGGCUCACCAAGGCGACGAUGCGUAGCCGACCUGAGAGGGUGAUCGGCCACACUGGGACUGAGACACGGCCCAGACUCCUACGGGAGGCAGCAGUAGGGAAUCUUCCGCAAUGGACGAAAGUCUGACGGAGCAACGCCGCGUGAGUGAUGAAGGUUUUCGGAUCGUAAAGCUCUGUUGUUAGGGAAGAACAAGUGCGAGAGUAACUGCUCGCACCUUGACGGUACCUAACCAGAAAGCCACGGCUAACUACGUGCCAGCAGCCGCGGUAAUACGUAGGUGGCAAGCGUUGUCCGGAAUUAUUGGGCGUAAAGGGCUCGCAGGCGGUUUCUUAAGUCUGAUGUGAAAGCCCCCGGCUCAACCGGGGAGGGUCAUUGGAAACUGGGAAACUUGAGUGCAGAAGAGGAGAGUGGAAUUCCACGUGUAGCGGUGAAAUGCGUNGNGNGGNGGNGGAANANNAGUGGGCGNAGGCGACUCUCUGGUCUGUAACUGACGCUGAGGAGCGAAAGCGUGGGGAGCGUAUUUAGGAUUAGAUACCCUGGUAGUCCACGCCGUAAACGAUGAGUGCUAAGUGUUAGGGGGUUUCCGCCCCUUAGUGCUGCAGCUAACGCAUUAAGCACUCCGCCUGGGGAGUACGGUCGCAAGACUGAAACUCAAAGGAAUUGACGGGGGCCCGCACAAGCGGUGGAGCAUGUGGUUUAAUUCGAAGCAACGCGAAGAACCUUACCAGGUCUUGACAUCCUCUGACAACCCUAGAGAUAGGGCUUUCCCUUCGGGGACAGAGUGACAGGUGGUGCAUGGUUGUCGUCAGCUCGUGUCGUGAGAUGUUGGGUUAAGUCCCGCAACGAGCGCAACCCUUGAUCUUAGUUGCCAGCAUUCAGUUGGGCACUCUAAGGUGACUGCCGGUGACAAACCGGAGGAAGGUGGGGAUGACGUCAAAUCAUCAUGCCCCUUAUGACCUGGGCUACACACGUGCUACAAUGGACAGAACAAAAGGGCUGCAAGACCGCAAGGUUUUAGCCAAUCCCAUAAAUCUGUUCUCAGUUUCGGAUCGCAGUCUGCAACUCGACUGCGUGAAGCUGGAAAUCGCUAGUAAUCGCGGAUCAGCAUGCCGCGGUGAAAUACGUUCCCGGGCCUUGUACACACCGCCCGUCAACACCACGAGAGUUUGCAACACCCGAAGUCGGUGAGGUAACCUUUUAUGGAGCCCAGCCGCCGAAGGUGGGGGCAGAUUGAUUGGGGUGAAGUCUUAACAAGGUAACCCAUA